rnacentral:lncRNA from 1 species
GACCCGCGGCCAUUGACAUGCUGCCACGUCACCCUAGUUACUGUUCACGUGAUAAUUAAGCUCAAAUUUGGAUGUUCUAAUUUCUAAUUAUUGAUUCUUAGUUUCCUCUAAUUGACUUGAGAACUAAUUAACAAACUAGUACAUUCCUACUAGCUUGUCAAUUUAGUCACUUGAAGCCUUGUGUUCGUGUCAACGUUUGUUUGUGUGCUUUUGUCGUUUGAAUAUGUUGUAACUCUUGGCUCUAGUCCGACGAGAAUUCUUUGAGUUUCAAACAAGAAUACAUUCCGGGCAAGAGCAUACUCAUACCUUAUGGAUUCAUGGGUUCCUAGCCAAUCUACAGCUCUUGUGGAACUUGAGUGUGAGUAAACCAAGAGAGUGUGAGUAAGGAGAGGAACCACGUCUCAAACCGUGGAUUCUGAUGAAAUGAAGAAUAUGAGGGUCACUCUUGAGGCUAUGACCCGAGCUCUUGAAAGGUUGAGUAUAGAAGUGGAAGCCAUAAGGGGAGAAGUGACAACUAUUAGUAGGAGGUUAGAACAAGUGGAGAGUCAAAGAAACUCUCGUCCUUCUACUCCUCGACAUGUUUCGUCAAGUGGACAUCAUAGAAAUUCCUCCGCCACCGUUAUUCCCGAAACAUGGCCACAAUUGCUAAAUCCUUCACUAGCUCCACUAAAAGCCACAAGCAAACCACUUAUAACCCUCUAAACCGAGACUCCAAUAGAACAACCCAUUCCCAAAUGUCUCAAGUUUUGAAAGAGGUACUCGGACAUCAAAUGCCUCCACAAAAUCCGAACCCCCCUUCUAAGCUCCACUAAACCAAAGACCACCACCUCCACAAAAUCCAAUUCCUCCGAAUCAAGUUCCAAAUGUCCAAAAUCAUCCUGUCCACCUUGAGGAAUAUGGUAGGGAGGAUUAUGAAGGGUAUGGAGCCUUUAACGAUGCCUAUAUGAGGUAGAAAAAGAUGAGAGGAGGUCGUGUGGAUCCAAGAAGAUAUCGAGGGUAUGGAGAAAGGGGAAAUCGACACCUAGAGAGAGACGUAGGCAUCAAUACCAUCAAAUGGAGCCUACUUAUCUUUAAGGGUGAAAGUAACCCCAAGGUGUAUCUUUCUUGGGAGUCGGCAUGUGAUAAAGUGUUUCAAGUAAAUGAUAUGUCGGAGGAGAAGAAGAGUUGUUAUGCCAUAGCUCAUUUUGAAGGCUAUGCUAACACUUGGUGGGAAUACGUCAAGCGGUUCGGCAACGAGUUGGUAGAGGGAAAACUACCACCAUGGUUUCGGUUGAGGUACCUAAUGAGGCAACGGUAUCUUUCCGAAAGUUAUCGUCAUGAGUUGCUUGCUAGGUUGUACAAUUUGCGACAAGGGAAUCGAAGUGUUAUGGCAUACUAUAAAGAGUUUCAACAACUCAUGUUGAAGCUUGAUCAUCGGGGAAAACAAAUUGGCCAUGACAUCAUUCGGUUCAAGUGUGGGUUGAACAAAGAGAUCUCCACUCAUUUGACGCUUCACGAGUUUAAUACCAUUGAAGGGAUUUUCCAAGAGGCUCUUGAGAUUGAUAGGGAGCUUAAAGAGAGGUCGUUGUUCAAGGCAAAGGGACCAUUAACCUCGGGUUGGCCGAGGAGCAAAGAUAUGGUUCAACCAUCUUUGAAUGUCUAAAUCUAAAGUUGAGCUUAAUGAAAAAGAAAAUUGUGUUGUGAAAGAAAAAAAAAGAAAAAAAAAAGGAGUUUGAAAAAUGUUACAACACUUUAUGUUUUCCAUCCCAAUAACAAGUCAUCCAUUACAAAAUAUCUAAGGGGACUAAGAAUUCAAGUUGAUGAACUAUUUAUGUGGACCCGCGGCCAUUGACAUGCUGCCACGUCACCCUAGUUACUGUUCACGUGAUAAUUAAGAAAAAGAGAAUGAGGCCGAGCCUCAAGAUGGAGAGAAACCCAAAAAAUGAGCCAUAUGAUGAUGAUUGUGAGAAUGCUUAUUCACAAGAAGGGAAGUGCGUGGUUCCAAACUUUGUAGUAAGGCGUGCCAUUGUGUCACCGUUUGUUUGUGUGCUUUUGUCGUUUGAAUAUGUUGUAACUCUUGGCUCUAGUCCGACGAGAAUUCUUUGAGUUUCAAACAAGAAUACAUUCCGGGCAAGAGCAUACUCAUACCUUACGGAUUCACGGGUUCCUAGCCAAUCUACAACUCUUGUGGAACUUGAGUGUGAGUGAACCAAGAGAGUGUGAGUGAGGAGAGGGAUUUUAAACUAACUUGUUUGUUGCUUGUGUAGGUGAUACCUUGAUAAUGGAGGGAACCACGUCUCAAA